rnacentral:rRNA from 1 species
AGAGUUUGAUCCUGGCUCAGGAUGAACGCUGGCGGCGUGCCUAACACAUGCAAGUCGAGCGAAGCACUUUGCUUUGAUUCUUUCGGGAGGAAAAGUAAUUUGACUGAGCGGCGGACGGGUGAGUAACGCGUGGGUAACCUGCCUCAUACAGGGGGAUAACAGUUAGAAAUGACUGCUAAUACCGCAUAAGACCACAGUACUGCAUGGUACAGUGGUAAAAACUCCGGUGGUAUGAGAUGGACCCGCGUCUGAUUAGCUGGUUGGUGGGGUAACGGCCCACCAAGGCGACGAUCAGUAGCCGGCCUGAGAGGGUGAACGGCCACAUUGGGACUGAGACACGGCCCAAACUCCUACGGGAGGCAGCAGUGGGGGAUAUUGCACAAUGGGGGGAACCCUGAUGCAGCGACGCCGCGUGAGCGAUGAAGUAUUUCGGUAUGUAAAGCUCUAUCAGCAGGGAAGAAAAUGACGGUACCUGACUAAGAAGCCCCGGCUAACUACGUGCCAGCAGCCGCGGUAAUACGUAGGGGGCAAGCGUUAUCCGGAUUUACUGGGUGUAAAGGGAGCGUAGACGGCAGUGCAAGUUCUGAAGUGAAAGGCAAGGGCUCAACCCUUGGACUGCUUUGGAAAGCUGUGCUGCUGGAGUGUGCGAAGCGGCAAGUGGAAUUCCUAGUGUAGCGGGUGUAAAUAACGUAGAUAUUAGGAGAGAACACCGGUGGCCGAUAGGCGGUCUUGUCUGGACGAUGACUGAACGUUGAGGGCUCAAAGCGUGGGGAACAAAACAGAUUAAAUACCCUGGGUAGUCCACCCCGAAAACGAAAAAAAACUAGGGGUCGGGUGGGAAAACGAUUCCGGGCCCCCGCAAACCCAGUAAUUAUUUCCCCCCGGGGGAUUACGUUUGCAAGAAUAAUACUCUAAGGAAUUGACGGGGACCCGCACAAGCGGUGGAGCAUGUGGUUUAAUUCGAAGCAACGCGAAGAACCUUACCUGAUCUUGACAUCCCCCUGACUGGUGAGUAAUGUCACCUUUCCUUCGGGACAGGGGAGACAGGUGGUGCAUGGUUGUCGUCAGCUCGUGUCGUGAGAUGUUGGGUUAAGUCCCGCAACGAGCGCAACCCCUAUCUUUAGUAGCCAGCAGCAAGGCCGGGCACUCUAGAGAGACUGCCAGGGACAACCUGGAGGAAGGUGGGGAUGACGUCAAAUCAUCAUGCCCCUUAUGACCAGGGCUACACACGUGCUACAAUGGCGUAAACAAAGGGAAGCGAAGGAGUGAUUUGGAGCGAAUCCCAAAAAUAACGUCUCAGUUCGGAUUGUAGUCUGCAACUCGACUACAUGAAGCUGGAAUCGCUAGUAAUCGCGAAUCAGAAUGUCGCGGUGAAUACGUUCCCGGGUCUUGCACACCCGCCCGUCA